UUUUUAGGGCCACACCUGUGGCAUAUGGAGGUUCCCAGGCUAGGGGGUCCAAUGGGAGCCAUGGCAACGCAGGAUCUGAGCCAUGUCUGUAAUCUGCACUACAGCUCAUGGCAACGCCAGAUCCUUAAGCCAUGGAUGGAGGCCAGGGAUCGAACCCAAAACCUCAUGGUUCCUAGUCCAAUGUGUUUCCACUGUGUCACGACAGGAACUCCCUAUUUCUUGACUAGCCUUUGGUUUUGUUUGUUUUGUUUUUGGCCACAUCCACGGCAUAUGGAAGUUUCCAGGCCAGGGACUGAACCCGAGCUGGCAGGUUCCUUAGCAAUGCCAGUGACAACGCCAGACCCUUAACCUGCUGUGCCACAAGCGAACUCCUAGCUUUUGGUUCUGAAACAAAAUGGCCUCAGGUGAGCCCAGGUAUCCAUGUAAGCUUGUAUGUUCUAUCACUACGUCAGGCAGCUAAGUGUCGUCUGAUGACCUUGGGUCCUGGGACGCUGAAGAGCCAAAUGUAACAAAUAGAGAAAGAGGUGGUUCCCAGGUAAUUAAUCAUGACCCAUGCCCCAGGGAUGCAGAGGGGAGGAAAGAGGACAGCAGAAUCAUCUUGUUCUGGAAAAGCUUAUUCUUGGAGGAGCUGAGCCUGGGGUAAGACACAGGGAAGAAGGUCUGCUUCUGCGCAUGGUGUUUUUCCAGGGGUUUUUGUCUUGACUUCUUCCCUCUUUCCCUUUCUCUCUGCUUAGACAAAGAUCAGCAGAAACACUGAUAGAUAAUCAGCUAGGCAUGACUGGAAACAGGUGACAUCAGGGUCCUUGGACGUGCUUGAUAAGGCGCAAACUACAGUGGCCUCUUCAGGGAGGAGGCAGGCCCUGAUCUGUCCCAAUCUUCAGGUCACAGGGUCCAAGUGUGGUCCGGAAUGCCAGCUCCAGCUUCCCUGCUUUACUUUGAACAUGAGUAGACACACACGCCCGCUGAAAAAUACCUUAUUUGCACACGCUGGACCACGUGUAGACAAGUCAGAUGGCUUUGUCACUUCAGAGCCUUCACUGCGGUCACGUACAGAGAGUCUCCGAAACAGAGCAAGAGGGUAUGGGAUGUUUUCCAAGUGACUGGAUCACAGAACCAAAGGCUGCUGUGUCAUACAGCGGACGUCAGGCCAUUAAAAGCUACGCACACACCUUCACAGGUCCCAGGGUCCCCAGAGAAUGAAAGCUCUUAACUCCUUAACAGAACACACAAGAGCGCUUCACACCUGGCCCCUUCUGCCUUGUAAACCCCACCACUCCUUCUUCCUAUCAGCUCCACUCCGAUGCUUCCAGAGGGUCAGGGGCCAGAUGCACAGGGUGCUCUCUCUGCUGAAAUCCCGUCCUCCUCCCCUUCCAGUCCACCUUUCCCAAGUCCUUCCAGACCUUGUGCGCGUAACGCCUCGCUGAAGGCGUCUCUCGUCGUUCUCACUCAUGUAGCUGUGCCCUCCUCUGUCCGUUCACAGCACUUUGGUUUUGUCUGUAGUGCAGCACUUUUCUCAGUGGAUCUCAAUUAGCUAUUGACUGACGGACUGAUUUCCUUCUAAUCUGGGCUCCUGAAGGCCAGGAACGUAUCCCUGACAUCCCCAGUGAGAGGCAUCCUGCAGGCACUCAGCAAGAGCCUACAUCUUCGCUCUCUUCUGCUGGGGCCUCCAUACUCCUCAACAAAGCUUUUCUGGACCCACAAGAGGGAAGAUCAGAGUUACGCUUUUUUUUCUAGCACAAUUAACAAGAGGGAUACUUGUGUGUUUAUGCCCACCGGACCUCCCAAGGACAGCAAUCAUAGAAGCCUCUGCGUAUUGCACGGCCCCCACACAAAGCUAAGUCCUCAUGCGCAGAUAUCAAUUCAAUCCUCCUUUUUGCAGUCAGGUAUAGUCAUGAGCCACCCUCAGACGUAGCCAUAAUAAAGCCUAUUUUUCUAACAGCUCAAAGUAUUGGAAAAUACGGUUCCUCCAAUUUUGAUAAAGUCCCUGUAGAUUUGGGAGCAGAAAACAUUUUAUUCGUGUCUACUCAUAACAGGGAAUUCCAAUAAGACUCAAGGUUAUUCAAAGACCAAAACUAAUGGUUCUAAGCCAUGAUUCUUCUACUCACAGUGAGUUUUGUGCUUCUCAGAUCCUCCAGACUAAUGUUUUUCAAAAAAUACAUUUAAUAGAACUUUGGUCUGACUUUAGAAAUAAGCUUCCAGAGCAGGACAUAGGUCCUUCAAGGAAUCCUACAUUUCCACAUGAAGUAGGAAUAAGAUACAGCAUUCACUGACUGAAACACGGAACCACAAGUAAGACCACAGCGAGAAGCAAAGAAAUCCCCUUCCUCUUCUUUGCCUCACACCAAAAG
rnacentral:lncRNA from 1 species